rnacentral:tRNA from 7 species
GGAUCUAUAGCUCAACGGUUAGAGCAACCGGCUCAUAACCGGUUGGCUACAGGUUCGAAUCCUGUUAGAUCCACCA